GUGAGGAAUUUUGCGCAAUGGCCGCAAGGCUGACGCAGCAACGCCGCGUGGGUGAAGAAGGCCUUCGGGUCGUAAAGCCCUGUCAGGUGGGAAGAAAGGUUCUGCCAAGAAACGGGUGGGAUUUGACGGUACCACCAGAGGAAGCACCGGCUAACUCCGUGCCAGCAGCCGCGGUAAUACGGAGGGUGCGAGCGUUAUUCGGAAUUACUGGGCGUAAAGCGCGUGUAGGCGGGAAGAUAAGUCUGAUGUGAAAGCCCCGGGCUUAACCUGGGAAGUGCAUUGGAAACUGUUUUUCUUGAGUACUGGAGAGGAAGGGGGAAUUCCCGGUGUAGAGGUGAAAUUCGUAGAGAUCGGGAGGAAUACCAGUGGCGAAGGCGCCCUUCUGGACGGUUACUGACGCUGAGACGCGAAAGCGUGGGGAGCAAACAGGAUUAGAUACCCGGGUAGUCC
rnacentral:rRNA from 1 species